rnacentral:rRNA from 1 species
GGUUCGGGCGGUCGGAUAAAGGCUUCGGGAAUGUAGCUCCUCUCGAGGAGUGUUAUAGCCCGUUGCGAAAUGCGGCCAGCCUGAACUGAGGUCCGCGCUUCGGCUAGGAUGCUGGCGUAAUGGUUGUAAGCGGCCCGUCUUGAAACACGGACCAAGGAGUCUAACAUCUGUGCGAGUGUUUGGGUGUCAAACCCGUACGCGUAAUGAAAGUGAGCGGAGGCGGGAACCCCCUCGGGGUGCACCGUCGACCGAUCCUGAUGUCUUCGGAUGGAUUUGAGUAAGAGCAUAGCUGUUGGGACCCGAAAGAUGGUGAACUAUGCCUGAAUAGGGUGAAGCCAGAGGAAACUCUGGUGGAGGCUCGCAGCGGUUCUGACGUGCAAAUCGAUCGUCAAAUUUGGGCAUAGGGGCGAAAGACUAAUCGAACUAUCUAGUAGCUGGUUCCUGCCGAAGUUUCCCUCAGGAUAGCAGUAACGUUUUCAGUUUUAUGAGGUAAAGCGAAUGAUUAGAGGCCUGGGGGUUGAAACAACCUUCACCUAUUCUCAAACUUUAAAUAUGUAAGAAGUCCUUGUUACUUAGUUGAACGUGGACAUUUGAAUGUAUCGUUACUAGUGGGCCAUUUUUGGUAAGCAGAACUGGCGAUGCGGGAUGAACCGAACGCGGAGUUAAGGUGCCGGAAUGCACGCUCAUCAGACACCACAAAAGGUGUUAGUUCAUCUAG